CGAUAAACAUCUUCAUCAGAUAUCAUUAUCGUAUAUAUCACGAUGAACAUCAUUACUGUUUUUCUCGGCAUCUGUAUCAUUGGUCUUGCAUCUGCAGGUGAAUGCAGUUACAAAGGUACGACCUAUGGUGAUGGUGAAAGUUGGAGAGACGGCUGUAGAUUCUGUUCAUGUAGUAAUGGUAGAGCGACCUGUAUGAGGAUGGGUUGUACAAAUAGUGACGAAGAAGAAACGUCUAGUCAAGUUGAAGUCGCUACUGCUCGUCCGACAUGUUCAUUUAAUGGUGAUACAUAUGAAGAUGGUGAGAAUUUCAUGAAUGAGUGUAACUGGUGUUCAUGUCACGGUGGUCGUGUUCGAUGUACGAUUAAAGGCUGUGUGGGUAAUGGUAACCGUAACCCCAAUGGUAACCGGAAUGGUAACCGGAAUGAUAACCGGAAUGGUAACCGCAAUCGCAACCGUAAUCGAAAUCGGAAUGGUGGUGACGAUCUAUUGAAUGUACAGAGAACAGGUGGAUGUACGUAUAAAGGACAAGCGUAUAGCCAGUUUGGUUUCUUUAUGGAUGGUUGUAACCAGUGUUUCUGUAGAAAUGGCGAAGUUGGUUGUACCAAAAAUCCAUGCCGUUAGAAUUAAAAGAAGUGUCGAAUCCACUCGGCAAACCUCAGCAGAUUCCAGUACCCUACAUCUAGCCUCGGCUGUAUGACGAAGUCCGCCAAUGAAACUAGAUGUAGGGUGCCGGAAUCUGCCGAAGUUUGCCGAGUGGUGUCGAAUCAAUAAGUAUUUACAGGAAUCCGACUUCUGCGAUAUCAGUACCGUGGACGUAGAUGUUACACCACCAAUUAUUACUACUUCAACCACAAGUGAAUUAAACAUUCUAAAUCAUU